GAGGAAGUUAAACCAACCCCCUCCCCCACCACCUUGAAGACAUUGAAAUGAAGAGACUGCUUCAUGUGAUCUUUCUCGUGACCAUUUUCUCAUGUCUGUCCCACGCUGUAACCGUAACUCAGAACAAAGCCUUUAUAUUGCUGCAUGAUGGAAGCAGUAUGGAAGAAAUGUCCUGUAUGCAUGAUGCAACCGAGAGCUACUAUAUGUACUGGUACCACCAGAAACCAGGAGAAGGCUUGGUGCUUAUUGCAAUGUCAGCAUUAGAGAAUGAUACCAGCUCAGAAAAAGAUUUUAAGGAAAAGUGGACGAUGACUCGGCCAAGUAAUGCAAAAUCUACACUAAAACGGAAUGGAACAGUGAACAUCUAUGACUCUGCUAUGUAUUACUGUGCAGCCAGCUACACAGCCAUAGGAAAGUCUGUCUCACGCUGUGACCGUGACUCAGAAUAAAGCCUUUACAUUGCUGACUGUUGGAGGCAGUAUGGAAGAAAUGUCCUGUACGCAUGAUGGCACCGGCAGCUACAAUAUGUACUGGUACCGGCAGAAAUCCGGAGAAGGCUUGGUGCUAAUUGCAAUGUCGGUGGCAAAUAAUGAUGCCAACUCAGAAAACGAUUUUAAGAAAACAUGGACAAUGACUCGGCCAAGUAAUGAGAAAUCUACUCUAAAAAGGAAUGGGGCAGUGAACAUCACAGACUCUGCCAUGUAUUACUGUGCAGCCAGUUUACACAGU